GAUUAUAGCCUUCGCAGUAUGACUUGCUGUUUUGGGAUGGCACAAGGUCCCAGAUUGUCACAGAUUAUAGCCUUCGCAGUAUGACUUGCUGUUUUGGGAUGGCACUUUUUCAAUGAGCACAAGGUCCCAGAUUGUCACAGAUUAUAGCCUUCGCAGUAUGACUUGCUGUUUUGGGAUGGCACUUUUUCAAUGAGCACAAGGUCCCAGAUUGUCACAGAUUAUAGCCUUCGCAGUAUGACUUGCUGUUUUGGGAUGGCACAAGGUCCCAGAUUGUCACAGAUUAUAGCCUUCGCAGUAUGACUUGCUGUUUUGGGAUGGCACAAGGUCCCAGAUUGUCACAGAUUAUAGCCUUCGCAGUAUGACUUGCUGUUUUGGGAUGGCACAAGGUCCCAGAUUGUCACAGAUUAUAGCCUUCGCAGUAUGACUUGCUGUUUUGGGAUGGCACAAGGUCCCAGAUUGUCACAGAUUAUAGCCUUCGCAGUAUGACUUGCUGUUUUGGGAUGGCACAAGGUCCCAGAUUGUCACAGAUUAUAGCCUUCGCAGUAUGACUUGCUGUUUUGGGAUGGCACAAGGUCCCAGAUUGUCACAGAUUAUAGCCUUCGCAGUAUGACUUGCUGUUUUGGGAUGGCACAAGGUCCCAGAUUGUCACAGAUUAUAGCCUUCGCAGUAUGACUUGCUGUUUUGGGAUGGCACAAGGUCCCAGAUUGUCACAGAUUAUAGCCUUCGCAGUAUGACUUGCUGUUUUGGGAUGGCACAAGGUCCCAGAUUGUCACAGAUUAUAGCCUUCGCAGUAUGACUUGCUGUUUUGGGAUGGCACAAGGUCCCAGAUUGUCACAGAUUAUAGCCUUCGCAGUAUGACUUGCUGUUUUGGGAU